rnacentral:lncRNA from 1 species
CUCUCCUCAGAGUCACCUCUGCUUUCAGCCAGGAUGUCCACUUGGGGGGGACCAGCCCGGAAGUCUCUCCAAGAGCCCCAAAGUCCAGGAACCCCCACCCAAGGAUUCAGACACAGAACCCACAACCCAGGGCCCCUCGGAACGCCCACUCCAGGCUUGCGGACCAACAAGCGGCCGAGAUGAGGGUCCGCUGCUGAGGUCGGAGGCCGAGCUGCGCCCUUCUGCGCGGAGCGCCCUCCCCGCCCCUCGUCCUAAUUUAGAUCCCACACCUGCUCGCCUUUCCUGCUUCCGGAACCCACGCUGGACCCCCACCCCUCCAGACAGCCUCCUUGUCACUGGCCAGAUCCUUCCCCCGACCCAGUGCUGUUCCCCUGGGUGCAGCGUGUCCCUGUGCUCACGCUCUCAGUCCCUCUUUACCUUAGGAAGGGACAGGCCUUUUCCCAGCCGCGGUGGAUGGCUGGAUUGGCGCUUUCAUCUCGGUUACUCUGUGUGUGGUGUCCUGGAACGGUUGUGUGACAGCCCUCUCCCCUCAAGAGAUAAGAUUAAAAAGGAGGAUAGUCUGUAAUCACA